AAUUGGAUCGAGGUUUUGGCUACCCCCCCAUUGUCAGACAUUCCGAGCGCGUUCCCGAAGUCGGAAUCGGCAAAGGUGAGCCGGGACAGCCUUCUUCCUCCGCCCAGCCGCCACAGUGAUUGUCGUCAAGUCUGCCACAGGAGGAUAUUUUUUUGAGGUUAACCUGCUUUCUCCCUCGCAGGUCGAUUACUACUGUUUGUAUAAACUUGUUAAAUCUUAGAAUUUCCGCAUGUGUUAGAAAUGUUUAUUUGAUUUGGGUCUGUAAACUAAAUUAUUAUUUUUGGACCUGUAAACUUAAAUGUGCUAUGCA